CAAUUUUUAUAAAAUGGUGGGGCUUCCAUACUUAUCUGAAAUGAAAGUGAAAGUCAUUCGUGCAAACUGCGUGUCACUCCCAGCAGCAGUACAGCAAAACCAGCAGCACAGCAAAGGAGCCAGAAGAUGCCCUGUCUUUCAACACCAGUUAAAGUCGAGACAAUCACCACCGGGGUGACUCAUGGCGCCGAUGUAGAGCUGAUGGACCAAGUGAGAAGUAGUGUUAGGCUGGAGGGCACAAACCAGGAUGGAGAGUGCACCAUUGUUUUCUGCCCCAUCAUCUCCCGUGUUGGUUCAGAUGUGGAGGCAGCCAUGCAAAACAUGCCAACCCAUAAAAAAGUCAUCCUGGUUCUGAUGCACCACACCCGAGAUCCAGACUACUCCACCGCUGGGAGGAGCUGGUCAGAAGUCUAUCCGAACGUCGACUUAGAAGUUCAUGUCCUCUUCCAUGAAAGUGUGUCAGGGUUACUAACCUGUUCUAAAAACACAGAUGCAGUCUAUCAAAUGCAAACAUAUUUUCAACCAAGUGGAACUAACUCUCUGCUUAGGUAUGUGAUCCUUGGAUUUCUGAUUCUUUUUGUAGUUGUGUUGUUGUUUUCACUGUUGGUGUAUUUUUUGGAGGUAAGAGAAAAAUCAGCAAACGGAACCAAAUAAAUCAGAAAGUAAUAUUGUUCAGGAUUAAUGUCUGAGUUCCUGUUUGUACAAAUGGAAACAUGUACGGAACAAGAAGGUUUGGGGUUCAAAUCCUAGAGUUAGCAUGUUAGCAUGUUUCUCUCCAGGUACCAAGACUUUCUUCUAAAGUCCAAAAAAUCAUGAAUGUUCCAUUAAACUGUGUUCAUGUAAUUUGUUCAGUCAUUUAUGAAUUUUUCUGGUUUAAAUGUGAAAACAAAGUUAAAUUUAAAUCCCCAAUGUCUUUAAUCUAUACAGGCUUUUCUCACUGAUCUGUAUGGGUGUGUUGGAUUGUGUUGAUGUUUUUUUGUGAAGGGCCUUCAGACACGUGUUGUGUAUAAAAAAUGGAAAUGAGUUAAAAUAGACAGAACUGCAACGGAUUUUAAGACAUGUAACAAACAUCCACUUAUAAAUGUUUUGGCUGUUCAAUAAUAGAAUUGUAUUAAUAAGUAGUCUAAUAUCUUCUGGUUUUCAAUUAUUGCUUUGGUGGCCAUGUUGCUGUUUUGAUGCUAUGCAUGUAGCUGUAGGUGUUUCAACAUCAGUAUAUUCUGUAAAUUGUACUCCGUUUCCUAGUUAAAUAAAGGUGUAAAUAAUUUAA